rnacentral:rRNA from 1 species
UACGAAGGGGGCUAGCGUUGCUCGGAAUCACUGGGCGUAAAGCGCACGUAGGCGGUUCUUUAAGUCAGGGGUGAAAUCCCAAGGCUCAACCUUGGAACUGCCUUUGAUACUGGGGAUCUCGAGUCCGGAAGAGGUGAGUGGAACUGCGAGUGUAGAGGUGAAAUUCGUAGAUAUUCGCAAGAACACCAGUGGCGAAGGCGGCUCACUGGUCCGGUACUGACGCUGAGGUGCGAAAGCGUGGGGAGCAAACAGG